rnacentral:tRNA from 1 species
UUUAUAAAAUUUAAUUAUUUAAUAUUAAAUUUAGAAUUUAUUUAAACAUAAUUAUUUAUGUAAAUAAUA